rnacentral:rRNA from 1 species
CGGAAGGAUCAUUACCGAAACUUGCGACAUGCGUCGUAUUGUUUAACACAAUCGUACCGUACAUGGCCGAGAUGGUGGUUUCAGCGGCUUGACCGUUGGCAGUCUCGGAACAAGCCCGAUGAAGCGGCAGUCGUGUCGCACGGAAUCGUCGGGCUUCCACCUUGCCGUUUCGGGGUACCUAGUCCGACAGCAUCAGUCACGAUCUGACGGAGAGAGCUCUCUUUUGUAGCCAGGUUCAAAGAGGCAACUUUACAGCCGCCCGCCCCGAACGCUGUUUUUUUCCGAAAUGUUUUGCUUCAUGCACGCAUACGGGGUGUCCGGUCUCGGACAACUCGGCAGUCCGUUCGAAUGUUGCCCGAACGAGUCUGCGAAAACUUAUUAUAAAGGAAUUACUCUAGGCGGUGGAUCACUCGGCUCGUGUGUCGAUGAAGAGCGCAGCCAGCUGCGUGAAUUAAUGUGAAUUGCAGGACACAUUGAACAUCGAUAUCUUGAACGCACAUUGCAGCUUCGGGUCACUCCCGGAGCAACGCCUGUCUGAGGGUCGGUUAAAUAACCAUCGCAAAAUGUAUUUUUUUGCGCAUAGUGGCGUUCGUGGUGUUGAAAGCUUGCUUUCGCAACGUCGCCCUAAGUAUUUGAUCGAUUCAGUUGUCUCUUUCUAGCAGUGCCCAUCUGCCAGAGAGACGUAGCUCGGUGGUUAUUCUAUCGAGUCUUUACGCUCUUCUGUGCAUGCUCGUUUUGGAUGCUUGCGAAAAAAAGUAAGACACCGACAGGUCAACGAAAACACAAAAUGAGGUAGCUUGUCGCUUGGCGUGGCGGCAGUACCGAAAAAUCUCAUUUCAUUCA